rnacentral:rRNA from 1 species
UCCUACGGGAGGCAGCAGUGAGGAAUAUUGGGCAAUGCCCGGAAGGGUGACCCAGCACGCCGCGUGGAGGAUGAAGGCCGUAAGGUUGUAAACUCCUGUUAGAGGGGAAGAAAAAUCCCGAUCGAAUCGGGAACUGACUGUACCCUCACAGGAAGCCCCGGCUAACUACAUGCCAGCAGCCGCGGUAAUA